GCUAGUAAUCGCGGAUCAGCAUGCCGCGGUGAAUACGUUCCCGGGCCUUGUACACACCGCCCGUCACACCAUGAGAGUCGGGAACACCCGAAGUCCGUAGCCUAACCGCAAGGGGGCGCGGCCGAAGGUGGGUUCGAUAAUUGGGGUGAAGUCGUAACAAGGUAGC
rnacentral:rRNA from 1 species